GUUUUGUGUCCAGCUUUCCCUGACAAAGAGAAGCGAAGUUGCUAGUAUAGACUUAGAGCCUGACACCCCUCCCUCCUGGCACAGUCUUAAACCCAGUUCCUUUUGUAAAAGGAUAUAAAAGUAUAAUUUCCAGGCACCAAGAUACAACAAAGGAAAUUUCAAACCGAGGCACCAAAUCAUCAUGUGAAAAAUUUUAAAAACUAGUUUCUGACCCCCUCAGCCAGAUCAAGAAUAUAAAAGAGGGUCAUAGUAUGGAGGAGAGGGAGGAUUCUGCGAGGAAGAAAUGUAUGGAGAAAACUGCUGUUAGCCCCAUCCCCUCCCUCCCAAGGAAGGAGAGAGGCGCCUACUCCCUUACAGCAAACCCAGUGAGAUGCCUGCACGGGUUACCCGAAGAGCUGAGAAUGUGGCCCCCAGCAUUGGGAACAGAGUGUUCUGGAGUC
rnacentral:lncRNA from 1 species